rnacentral:misc_RNA from 1 species
CGUGACGAUCUGUAUUUCCGCAGGGCGGUAUUGCUUAACAAAAAUAAUUUUCCUGAACCCGCACUGGCUGAUUUCCGCAAAGCCUGGUCAUUGGCAAAAGAAGAAAGUUAUGCUGUUGGUGUCAGCAAUAUCCUAUUAGAAAAAAAACCUGAUUCAGCUAUUGUCUUUUUAAAUGAGGCUAUCCAAGAAAUCCCCAAUAGUUUGUUCCUUCAAAUCAGCCUUGCCCGGUCGUAUGAUGCGCUGAAUAAAACCGAUGAGGCAUUGAAAGUUUGCAAUGAUAUGCUUGAAAAGGAACCCGGCCAGGUAAAUGCAUUGUUAUUAAAAGCAGAUCUGUUAGAAAAAAAGGGAGAUACCGCCAAUAUGAUCUCCUCAUUAGAAAAAGCAUAUAGCAUCGUACCCU